rnacentral:rRNA from 1 species
UACGUAGGGUGCAAGCGUUGUCCGGAAUUAUUGGGCGUAAAGAGCUCGUAGGCGGUUUGUCGCGUCUGCUGUGAAAACUCAGGGCUUAACCCUGAGCCUGCAGUGGGUACGGGCAGACUAGAGUGUGGUAGGGGAGAUCGGAAUUCUGGUGUAGCGGUGGAAUGCGCAGAUAUCAGGAGGAACACCGGUGGCGAAGGCGGAUCUCUGGGCCAUAACUGACGCUGAGGAGCGAAAGCAUGGGGAGCGAACAGGA